GGGGGGAGGCAGGAGGCCAGCGGAGCGGGACCUGCACCCGCGCGAGGAGAGGUCGGCGCCGUCCGAGUCCGCCGCGCUCAGGAAUGUAACCUUUACCCGUGAAGGUGGAAUUUCCGGGCCGGUCCUAGGAGGUCCCGACGGACCCCAGCCUCCCCUGGAGGCAACUUCGCCUAACAAUGCAUUCCUUGCUAAUGAAUUCCUUGUCUCUUUAAUCCCUGGGCUCUGCCUUCUAAAACCUUUCUCUGGUUUAGCUCGGGAGAGCUCCCCUCUGCUUGCUGGGCUGGACGCUGCGCCAAUCCACAAACCCGUUAAUAAAGCCCAUUUAUCCUCGAAUUUGCUGGAUUGAAGGCUUUUUCAACAUGUGAAAGAGAAAUGGGGCGUCUGUGUAUUUGCUUCUCCUGGUUCUUACGGAUUCAUGGUCUUACAGCUCCUAAAGUAGCUGAAAAAACGUGUACAAACAUUUGAAAUUCCAAAGUUGAAUUUGUACCCAAAACAGAAGUAUUUCCAAUAUCUUUUCUUUGUUGUUUCAGAUUCAGAAAGAAUAUUCUUAAGUUUUGUAACAGUUUUAGGUGCAUCUAGCCUGUUUUCAGAAGUCACUCUCUCUCCUUUGCUGUAAGGAGAGGGACAGGCCUAAACAGCACAGAACUUAUUACCAGAAUUUCUCCCUGGAGAAUUGUAGUAACUAUUUCCUCUUUGUUCAAAAUAACAUACCACGCUGGUAAUUUGCGUUUUUUAAAAAGGCCAAAAUGGUUUUGAUUUCCGCAGUGUGCACUUCCUUUUUUGAGAUUCACUACAUUAGUACGUUUAAUUUCUGUGAAAAUUCUUCUGGUGGUGAUGUGUAGCACAAAGCAGAAGGAAGGUAGAUCCUGCAGCCCGCUGCCAAGUCUGAGAGGUGGGCUGAGAAGAUCCUUCUCCAGGAAGCUCCCAGCUGUCUUACCGUUAAUGCAGCGCUGGCGGGACCAACGGCCUCAGACUGACAAUAACCAGGCCCCCAGGACCCUGUGAGUCGUCUUUUGCAUACAAAAGCCCUUUUGGAAACUUCCCCUGUGUUUACCUUCCCCCCACUCCAUGGUACAUAAUCAGUUUUUAAUAAAACUGAUGUGGUUUUGGGGUAUUGGGGUCUGGAGCUGACAGCCAAGGAAAUUCUUCAAAGGUCUUUGGUGCAAAAAGGUGGUUUUAUUAAAGCCUGGUUGGGGCGGGGGGUGGAGCAGGACCCGUGGGCAGGAAGAGCUGCUGGCCCGAGGUUGUGAGGGUGGCUGAUGAUCUCCGUGGGAGCUGGAGGGUGGAGGGGGGGGAGCGGUGAGGACAAAGGGAGGUUUCCAGAAGGCUUUCAUAUGUUAAGGAGGACCUAGGAGACACCGGAGGCCUGCCUAUUGUCAGGCUGAGGCUGUUUGUCCCUCCAGCGAGGCAUCUAAGUGAAGGCAGUUGGGAGCUUCCUGGAGGAAGGUUCUACUCUGCCGGUCUCAAGUCUUUGUCAAGGAAGGAGCUGCAGGUUUUAAGGACAUUUAAUUUUAUUUGCAUUUCCUUCUGCUUCUGUCUCCCCCACAUCUUCUGUGAUCUUAGGGCUCCAGGACAUUGAAUCUAUGGGUCUCUGGAAGUCAGGCUACUGAUAAGAACACUUACUCCUUGUAAAUCACUAAGACUGGUCCAGUAGAGGAGAUUCCUGUCCUGCAGGACGGUGAUCUCUAAUCACUCAGCCAUUUGUUUUUCCUUCCCUUAAUUUUAGGGCAGCCAGGAAUGCCUGAGGAAUGUCACACACAUCCCCCCUGGAGGGAGGGAGGGUUGAGGGUGUCAGCUUAUACUCUGUCCUCAGCCUGCCUUCUCCUUCAUGAAAACCACCUUUUUGGCACUGAAAUCAUCUCCAUUCUUUCUUGACCCCUCGCUCCUGGAUCCCACAUCAAAUCACAUCAAUUGUAAAGCAGGACAUGAAACUCCACAGUACUUUGAAACUGUCUAAUGGUUUACAAGAAAAACACAAUCCUAAUCAUAACCAGACCUCCAAGAACCUAUAGACUCAAUUUCCUGCAGCCCUAACAUCACCUUCAUCUCCAUAGGACAAAAGACCGUAUAUAAUCAGUCACUCCUCACAGGUUCGAAUGAAGCUCUUUGCCCUCAGGUCCUGUCCCUGGGCUUUCAUAAAACCACCUCUUUGCACCAAAGACGUCUCAAGAAGUCUUUCUUGACCAUAGCGCUCCACGAUCCCACAUCAAACUUCUUUAUUAAUAUGUGCUAAUUACAUUUAGAAAGAAUAAUGGAGUUUGGGCAACAAAAUGGAAUUGCAGAUCAUAAUUGUGAUUUACUUUUUAAAAUUUCAUUUAUUUAUUUAUUCAUGAGAGACACAGAGAGGCAGAGAGAGAGGCGUCCCAAGAUUCCUAAUGUUUUUACAAGAAUGUUCUUCCUCAGUCAACGCAAAAUGUUUUGACUAAUUGUGUUGCACAACUGAUUCAUUAUCUAAAUCUGAGUCUGAAGGCAAGAAUACAGAAGUAAAGAAAUCAGAUGAGUAGAAACUGGAGGAUUGGCAAGAUCAAUGUCAGGGCGGCUGGAAGCCUGUGGACAGAAAAUAACAAGCGUUGGUGAGGAUGUGGAGAAACUGGAAUCUGUACAGUCUAGGGGGAAGGCAAAAUGGUGCAGCUGAUCGGGAAAUAAGUUUGACAGUUCCUCAGAAACUUAACCAUGGAGCUACCGUGGGGCCCAGCAAUUCCACCCCCAAGUGCACACCCAGAACGAAUGAAAACAUAAGUCCACACAAACACGUAUAAACAAAUGUUUACAGCUGCAUUCUUCCUGAUGGUAGAAAAGUGGAAAUAGCUCAAGGGUCCUUCGACUGAUGAGCACAAAGGCUAAAUGUGGUCUACUCGUAGACUGGAAUGUUAUUUGGCAAUAAAAUGGCUUGAUGUACAGAUACAAGCUACCACAUGGGUAAGCCUUGAAUAUGUUAUGCGAUGUGAAAGAAGCCCGUCACAAAAGGCCAAUAUUGUAUGGUUCUAUUCCUAUGAACUGUCCAGAAUGGACAAAUGUAUGGAGGAAGAAAAUGUUAUGGGUCAAUUGAGAGUGACCACUAAUGGGUAAGGGGACUCCUUUUGAAGGUAAUGAGAACAUUCUGGAAUUGGGUGGUGGUAACAACUGCAUGACCUUGUGAGUAAACUAGAACAAUUGAAAUGUACACUUUUUUUUUUUAAGAUUCUAUUCAUGAGACACACACACACACACACAGAG